CAAAUUGGAUUUUGGAUUGGGAGCACGACCGCAAGAAAGUGCAUCGAUAAUCAUAAUUCAUAAUUAUAAACAAUUUAAAAGAUUUUUCUUCUCAAGGAAUGAUAGCAGAAUUACAAUAUAAAGGCUAACACGAUGAAAUCCGCUUUGAUGGUGGCUGAAAAGCCAUCGUUAGCACAAAGUCUUGCUAACAUACUUAGCAAUGGCAAAUGCACGACUAAUAAAGGUUCUAACUCGGCUUGUUCCGUUCAUGAAUGGACGGGAACAUUCAAAAAUGAGCCGGUGAAAUAUAAGAUGACGUCUGUUUGCGGGCAUGUUAUGAGCUUGGACUUUACUGGAAAAUACAACAAUUGGGACAAAGUGGAUCCUAUAGAGUUGUUCAGUUGUCCAACUGAGAAGAAGGAGGCAAUGCCGCGUUUACGCAUACCGGCGUUUCUGGCUCAGGAAGCAAGGGGAUGUGAUUAUUUGAUUCUAUGGCUGGAUUGUGAUAAAGAAGGAGAAAAUAUUUGUUUUGAGGUAAUGACAUGUGUUGGACCGUACAUGAAAGCCGAUGUGUACUCCCCAUUAGUGACCUUCAGGGCCCGCUUCUCUGCUAUCACAGAGAAGGAUAUUAAAGCUGCAAUGCUGAAUUUAGUAAGGCCAAAUGAGAAUGAAUCUCGCAGUGUGGACGCUAGGCAGGAACUGGAUUUGAGAAUUGGAUGCGCUUUUACUAGAUAUCAGACAAAGUAUUUUCAAGGACGAUAUGGAGACCUCGAUUCGUCACUCAUAUCAUACGGGCCGUGUCAAACACCAACUCUAGGAUUCUGUGUCCAACGUCACGACGACAUCCAAACCUUCAAGCCGGAGACUUACUGGGUGUUAAGAGUCACCGCGUCGACAAGUGAAGGCAGAGAAUUGCCGCUUGAGUGGAAGAGGGUCCGCGUGUUCGAGAAAGACAUUGCCAAUAUGUUCCUUGCUGGUAUCAAGGAAAUAAAGGAGGCUGUUGUUAUCAACAUUCAAGCUAAAGAAAAGGUGAAAGCUCGUCCAGUUGCGUUAAACACAGUGGAGCUGAUGAGAGUGGCUAGUGCCGGAUUGGGUAUUGGACCCCAUAGUGCUAUGCAGAUUGCAGAACGUCUUUACACGCAAGGUUACAUUUCGUAUCCUCGUACCGAAACAACCAGUUAUCCUGAAAAUUAUGAUUUAAUGGGAACCCUUCGUCAGCAACAGAACUCAAAUAAAUGGGGCACGGAAGUUAAAGCCUUAAUAGCAAAUGGUAUUAAUAAGCCAAAGAAAGGCAAGGAUGUAGGCGACCAUCCUCCUAUUACACCUAUGAAGCCAGCAACUGAAUCAGAACUAGACGGUGACAUGUGGCGUAUAUACGACUAUGUGACGAGACAUUUUAUAGCAACACUGAGUCGAGAUUGCAAAUAUCUAUCUACUGUUAUCACUUUCCAAGUGGGCACGGAGACGUUUCACUAUACUGGCAACACUCUUGUCGAUCCUGGUUAUACGGAGAUUAUGCAUUGGCAGGCUUUCGGUAAAGACGAAUUCGUACCAAUUCUGAAUGUAGGCGAAGAACUGCGUGCUCAUGAUCACAGACUGGUCGAGUGUCAAACAUCACCACCUGAUUAUCUGACGGAAGCUGAGUUGAUCACACUAAUGGAGAAGCAUGGUAUAGGCACAGACGCGUCUAUACCAGUACAUAUAAACAACAUCUGCCAGCGGAACUAUGUGAAUGUUGGCAGCGGCAGGCGGUUGGUGCCAACCAGCUUGGGCGUGGUUCUUGUACAUGGGUAUCAGAAGAUUGACCCUGAGCUAGUAUUGCCAACGAUGCGUUCAGCUGUUGAAGAACAAUUGAACCUUAUCGCCAUUGGUCGAGCAGAUUUCCACGCUGUAUUAUCGCACACGACAGAAAUAUUCCGUAGAAAGUUCCAGUACUUUGUGAGGAGUAUGGAGGCGAUGGAUCAGCUGUUCGAAGUGAGCUUCUCGUCGCUUAAAACUAGCGGAAAAGCGUUGUCCAGGUGUGGCAAGUGUCGACGGUAUAUGAGAUACAUUCAGGCGAAGCCCGCGCGGCUGCACUGCUCGCACUGCGACGACACGUACACGCUGCCGCAGCAGGGCGCGGUGCGCAUCUACCGCGAGCUCAAGUGCCCGCUCGACGACUUCGAGCUGCUCUCCUGGUCCACCGGCUCCAAGGGCAAGAGCUUCCCGCUCUGCCCCUACUGCUACAACCACCCGCCGUUCAGGGAUAUGAAAAAAGGCUUUGGUUGUAACUCGUGCACGCACCCGACGUGCCCGUACGGUGUGAACUCUACGGGCGUGUCCGGUUGUUUGGACUGUGACGGUGUGUUGGUUCUCGACCCGUCCGCUCCUAAAUGGAAAUUGGCCUGUAAUAGAUGCGACGUGAUAAUAAACGUGUUCGAGGACGCAUCCCGCGUGACGGUCAGCGAGCAGGCGUGCGGUGACUGCGGCGCGCAGCUCGUGAGCGUGGAGUAUCGGGCCGAGCGCACGCGCCUGCCCGCCGCGCUCACCGACAUGACCGCGUGCCUGUACUGCGAGCCGGCGUUCACCGCGCUGGUACUGUGCCCUCACUAGCUCGUCACGUGGAGUAUCGGGCCGAGCGCACGCGCCUGCCCGCCGCGCUCACCGACAUGACCGCGUGCCUGUACUGCGAGCCGGCGUUCACCGCGCUGGUACUGUGCCCUCACUAGCUCGUCACGUGGAGUAUCGGGCCGAGCGCACGCGCCUGCCCGCCGCGCUCACCGACAUGACCGCGUGCCUGUACUGCGAGCCGGCGUUCACCGCGCUGGUACUGUGCCCUCACUAGCUCGUCACGUGGAGUAUCGGGCCGAGCGCACGCGCCUGCCCGCCGCGCUCACCGACAUGACCGCGUGCCUGUACUGCGAGCCGGCGUUCACCGCGCUGGUACUGUGCCCUCACUAGCUCGUCACGUGGAGUAUCGGGCCGAGCGCACGCGCCUGCCCGCCGCGCUCACCGACAUGACCGCGUGCCUGUACUGCGAGCCGGCGUUCACCGCGCUGGUACUGUGCCCUCACUAGCUCGUCACGUGGAGUAUCGGGCCGAGCGCACGCGCCUGCCCGCCGCGCUCACCGACAUGACCGCGUGCCUGUACUGCGAGCCGGCGUUCACCGCGCUGGUACUGUGCCCUCACUAGCUCGUCACGUGGAGUAUCGGGCCGAGCGCACGCGCCUGCCCGCCGCGCUCACCGACAUGACCGCGUGCCUGUACUGCGAGCCGGCGUUCACCGCGCUGGUGGAGAAGCACCGUGCGGUGACGUCACGCGGUGGGGGGGCGCGCGGGCGGGGAGGGAGGGCGCGAAACAACAAACACCGCAACAAGCAGCCCAAGGACAAGAUGGCGCAACUCGCUGCGUACUUCGUGUGAACAUUAUUUAUUUAAAAAAUCGUAUGAGAAAAUGGUUCUAUAAUCGACUAUGUUUUUGUUUCGUCAAAUCUUUCGCCUGUAUGUAACGUUGUUUGUUUUUCAAAUGUUUUAUAAAUUAAUUACUGUCGUAUAUCUACCUACGUUUAUUUAGAUAUCUACAGCUGUAGUCAUAAAAGCGAGCUAUUAAGUACAUGAAUCAAAUUAAUAAUUUCUAUUUAUUCUAUUUUAUUUACAUACAUAACGGAAUCGGUAUAUGUAAUUAUUGGCGAUCCGCCCGAGGUUUUUGCAUCAAAAUACGCCGCGUAAUUUUAAAAGAUUAUUUAUUAGAUUAUAAAGGCAUUUAUAGGGACAAUCAACUUUUUUAUACUAU